rnacentral:lncRNA from 1 species
AUGUGUAUCAUCAGUAAAAAGGGUAGUCAAGUAGAUUUGUUAGUCCUUUUUGUGCAAGACAGUUUUUACAUGCUUUCAUCUUAACUCGGAUCCAUUAGUUAUGCAUCUACGAAUUAUAACUCGAUUUACAUCUAUGUAAUCUAUUACCUUCGAAUCCAUCAGUUAUGCAUCUACGAAUUAUUACUCAAUUUACAUCUAUGUAAUCUAUUACCUUCAUUCAAGUGUUUAGAAGUACGAUAUAUGUUUACCGUAUAUGAUUACGGAUUAUGGUAUGUUCUUCAAUUUGAUGAAAUGCAGACUUGUGUAAAUUGUUGUACUGCUUUUGAUUCUAUUUUGGUCAGUAUGAAUUGCAG